rnacentral:rRNA from 1 species
UAGGGAAUCUUCGGCAAUGGGGGCAACCCUGACCGAGCAACGCCGCGUGAGUGAAGAAGGUUUUCGGAUCGUAAAGCUCUGUUGUAAGUCAAGAACGAGUGUGAGAGUGGAAAGUUCACACUGUGACGGUAGCUUACCAGAAAGGGACGGCUAACUACGUGCCAGCAGCCGCGGUAAUACGUAGGUCCCGAGCGUUGUCCGGAUUUAUUGGGCGUAAAGCGAGCGCAGGCGGUUUGAUAAGUCUGAAGUUAAAGGCUGUGGCUCAACCAUAGUUCGCUUUGGAAACUGUCAAACUUGAGUGCAGAAGGGGAGAGUGGAAUUCCAUGUGUAGCGGUGAAAUGCGUAGAUAUAUGGAGGAACACCGGUGGCGAAAGCGGCUCUCUGGUCUGUAACUGACGCUGAGGCUCGAAAGCGUGGGGAGCGAACAGGAUUAGAUACCCUGGUAGUCCACGCCGUAAACGAUGAGUGCUAGGUGUUGGAUCCUUUCCGGGAUUCAGUGCCGCAGCUAACGCAUUAAGCACUCCGCCUGGGGAGUACGACCGCAAGGUUA